AUUGAACGCUGGCGGCAGGCCUAACACAUGCAAGUCGAGCGAGUGGCGGACGGGUGAGUAAUGUAUGGGGAUCUGCCUGAUGGAGGGGGAUAACUACUGGAAACGGUAGCUAAUACCGCCUACCCUCAGCUGAACCAAUAUGGGAUUAGCUAGUAGGUAAGGUAACGUCUUACCUAGGUGAUGAUCCCUAGCUGGUCUGAGAGGAUGACCAGCCACACUGGGACUGAGACACGGCCCAGACGCCUACGGGAGGCAGCAGUGGGGAAUAUUGAACAAUGGGCGCAAUCCUGAUGCAGCCAUGCCGCGGGUAUGAAGAAGGCCUUCGGGUUGUAAAGUACUUUCAGUCGGGAGGCGUUACCGACAGAAGAAGCACCGGCUAACUCCGUGCCAGCAGCCGCGGUAAUAC
rnacentral:rRNA from 1 species